UACAGAGGUCUCAAGCGUUGUUUGGAAUUACUGGGCGUAAAGGGUGCGCAGGCCGCGCGGGCAGUCAAAUGUGUAAUUCAGGGGCUCAACCCCUGCACUGCGCUUGAUACUUCCGCGCUCGAGCUUUGGAGAGGAGUCUGGAAUUCUCGGUGUAGCAGUGAAAUGCGUGGAUAUCGAGAAGAACACUUAGGGCGAAGGCAAGACUCUGGACAAAUGCUGACGCUCAUGCACGAAGGCUAGGGUAGCGAACGGG
rnacentral:rRNA from 1 species